UGCAACGCUGGCGGGAGGCUUAACACAUGCAAGUCGAGCGGUAUUGGCUUUCGGGCCGAGAGAGCGGCGCACGGGUGAGUAACGCGUAUGCAACCUGCCCUUUACAGGGGGAUAGCCCGUUGAAAGACGGAUUAAUACCCCAUAUGCUUUUAGUGCCGCAAGGCACGUAAAGGAAAACUACGGUGGUAAAGGAUGGGCAUGCGUGACAUUAGCUUGUUGGUAGGGUAACGGCCUACCAAGGCGACGAUGUCUAGGGGAUCUGAGAGGAUGACCCCCCACACUGGUACUGAGACACGGACCAGACUCCUACGGGAGGCAGCAGUGAGGAAUAUUGGUCAAUGGGCGGAAGCCUGAACCAGCCAUCCCGCGUGAAGGAAGACGGCCCUACGGGUUGUAAACUUCUUUUCUGCAGGAAUAAAAGUAUCUACGAGUAGGUAUGUGCAGGUACUGCAGGAACAAGCAUCGGCUAACUCCGUGCCAGCAGCCGCGGUAAUACGGAGGAUGCGAGCGUUAUCCGGAUUUAUUGGGUUUAAAGGGUACGUAGGCGGCCUGUUAAGUCAGCGGUGAAAAACUAACCGCUUCACGGAAGUCUUGCCGUUGAAACUGACAGGCUUGAGGGCAGACGAGGCAUGCGGAAUGUGUAGUGUAGCGGUGAAAUGCAUAGAUAUUACACAGAACCCCGAUUGCGAAGGCAGCAUGCCAGGGUGCCACUGACGCUGAAGUACGAAAGCGUGGGGAUCGAACAGGAUUAGAUACCCUGGUAGUCCACGCCGUAAACGAUGCUCACUAGCUGUUUGCGAUAUGACAGUAAGCGGCCCAGCGAAAGCGAUAAGUGAGCUACCUGGGGAGUACGCCGGCAACCGUGAAACUCAAAGGAAUUGACGGGGGCCCGCACAAGCGGAGGAACAUGUGGUUUAAUUCGAUGAUACGCGAGGAACCUUACCCGGGCUUGAAUGGGACUGACAGAAGCGGAAACGUUUCUUUCUUCCGACAGGUUCAAGGUGCUGCAUGGUUGUCGUCAGCUNGUGCCGUGGAGGCUGUCCGGGUUAAGUCCCAUAAACGAGGCCCACCCCUUACCGG
rnacentral:rRNA from 1 species